GUUUAUUAUUCUGCUAAACUGCUUUGUCCUUGGUUGCAUGAUAUCUGAUCCAGCAAAACAAGGAUAUAACUUCAUUCUAUGUGCAUAUUAUCUGCAGGGUUAUGCAUAUAUACUCACGCAGCCCGGAAUACCUUCCGUUUUCUAUGACCACUUCUAUGAUUCGGGUGAUUCAAUUCAUGAUCAGAUUGUGAAACUGAUUCAGAUUAGUAGAUAUGAGACAUUUUGAACUGAUCGAUGCUCAUGAUUAGGUUGUGUACAUAAGACAAUGGUGGAUUAAUAGAAAUUGCAAUGAAUGAUUUUGGA